CCAAAGACCAGAAAGCAGGGCCUGGCUCUCUUUGUUGUUGGGAAGGAGUCCGCCAGCGCCACCAGUGUAAAAUAAAAGCUGUUCACCGCUUCCAAAUCCUGGGUGUCGCUUUGGUGUUUCUGCUUGCCGCGCCAAGCCUCUGAUUCCCAAUUUUAAACUCUAUAUCCAUGAGAUCAACUUUCUGAGCUUCCAGAAUUACAGUGACAUUUCAUACAUCAACCUCAGAUUCACCAACCUUCCUGUGUAAGAACCGCUAACUUUGCGCCAAUGGAGCACCAAUCACCAACCUUUCUGUGCUUAGUAAUUCUAAUAAUUUUUCAAUAUAUUUUUUAGAUUUUUCUGUAUAUUCAAUAGUUAAUUCACAA